rnacentral:rRNA from 1 species
CGAGCGGCAGCAAAAUAAAAUAAGAAAUUAUUUUAUUGUUGGCAAGCGGCGAACGGGUGAGUAAUACCUAGGAAUCUACCUAAUGGAGCGGGACAACUAUUAGAAAUGAUAGCUAAUACCUCAUAAAGUCAUUUUUUUUUAAAUUUAAUUUUGACCAAAGGCGGGGGAUUUUAACUAACCUCGCGCCGUUAGAUGAGCUUAGGCAAGAUUAGCUAGUAGGUAAGGUAAAUGCUUACCUAGGCAAUGAUCUUUAGCUGGUCUGAGAGGACGAACAGCCACACUGGAACUGAGACACGGUCCAGACUCCUACGGGAGGCAGCAGUGGGGAAUAUUGCACAAUGAGGGAAACCUUGAUGCAGCUAUACCGUGUGUGUGAUGAAGGCCUUUGGGUUGUAAAGCACUUUCAGCAAAGAAGAAGAUGUUUAUGAUAAUACCAUAAAUAUUUGACGUUAUUUGAAGAAGAAGCACCGGCUAACUCCGUGCCAGCAGCCGCGGUAAUACGGAGGGUGCAAGCGUUAAUCGGAAUUACUGGGCGUAAAGCGUAUGUAGGUGGUUUAUUAAGUCAGAUAUGAAAUCCUAAGCUUAACUUAAUGGCUGUAUUUGAAACUAAUAAACUAGAGUCUCGUAGAGGAGGGUAGAAUUCCAAGUGUAGCGGUGAAAUGCGUAGAUAUUUGGAGGAAUACCAGUGGCGAAAGCGGCCCUCUAGACGAAUACUGACACUCAGAUACGAAAGCGUGGGGAGCAAACAGGAUUAGAUACCCUGGUAGUCCAUGCUGUAAACGAUGUCAAUUUGAAGGUUGUGAUAUAUAAUUGUGACUUUCGUAGCUAACGCGUUAAAUUGACCGCCUGGGGAGUACGACCGCAAGGUUAAAACUCAAAUGAAUUGACGGGGGCCCGCACAAGCGGUGGAGCAUGUGGUUUAAUUCGAUGCAACGCGAAAAACCUUACCUACUCUUGACAUCCAAAGAACUGAAUAGAGAUAUUUAGGUGCCUUCGGGAACUUUGAGACAGGUGCUGCAUGGCUGUCGUCAGCUCGUGUUGUGAAAUGUUGGGUUAAGUCCCGCAACGAGCGCAACCCUUAUCCUUUUUUGCCAUCGAUUAAAGUCGGGAACUUAAAGGAAACUGCCAGCGAUAAGCUGGAGGAAGGUGAGGACGACGUCAAGUCAUCAUGGCCCUUAUGAGUAGGGCUACCCACGUGCUACAAUGG